UGAUUAUCUCAUGCAUUUAGCAUUAAUGAAACAAAGAUUUUUUCUGAUAUAAAAUAAAAUAAUAUUUGGUAUCAAGUAAUAAAGCUAUUUCACUCAGAAAAUCACUAACUGGCUUAACUGGGUGUGUAAUAGUAUUACAAUGAUCAGUUUCAUUAUAUGAUACUUUCUUGACACAUCUACGUGUUUUGAAAAAUCAGAAAUGUAAUAAUAAAAUAAUUAUAAUGAACUACUGGAGGAAAUCUGCAGAGUACAGUAUUAAGUAUAUCCUUAAUACUGAGCAUAAUUCAGAAAGCACUUGUGGGCUUAAAAUAUGGCUUCUUUAGAAAUAUUCCUUAUUAUGUGCAUUCGGUUAGAAAAAUAUAUUAUGAAAAGUUUGGUGACUUUGACAUGUUGCCAUUGCUAAAAAUAGUAUCUGUCAGUAAUGUCCUGGUGCUUUCAAGGACAACAGUCAUCGAAGAUUUUUCUUUUUACCUAUAGCAUUGCAUGUGAAAUUUAACUACCAUCCACUUAUGAAUAUUACUUUUUAAGCAUGAAUUAUAAUUGCUCAUAAAACAUUUCUGGGAAAAGAUUGCAUUAAAGUGAAAAUAUACCACUUAUCAUAGAAUAAACAAUGAAGCUAAAAGAUUAGUACAAUUAAAUUUAAUCUAAGUAGGUCUUAAAACACAGCACUUUGCAAAGCAGUUUGGCAAUAUAUGUAUAAAACAAAACCAAGAAACUAGACAUAAACUGUUGAUUACAAGGAGAAUACGUGCAAUCCAACGCCUUUGGGACUCUCAGUUCCAGUCACAGAUACAACCUUUAAACAUACAGUCUAAAAAUUUUCCCUAAGAUGAUCUGUGCUAAGGCUUUAUAUAUCUUAACAUUUUUUUUUAGUUUUAAAAUAAUGGCCCAAUUGUAAACAAACAAGCCCGAGUUAUGAUUGCAAUUUUAAGAUUUGAUAAUUGUUUAAAGCAUUGAUGUUAUAAUGACACAUCCAUUUUUAAAGGCCACUUAAAAGGAAUAUUUAAAUCAAUAAAUGGUGAUGUUUAUGUGUAAUUGUGCCUAUAUGCUAAAAGUACAUACAAUUUAAAAAAUAAUUUAGUUAAAAUUUUUCAUUGAGGUAACAUUGGUUUAUAACUUUAUAUAAGUUUCAUGUGUAUAUUUCAACUUCAUUAUACACUACAGCGUGCUCACCUCCAAAAGUUUCGUUUCCGUUUGUCACCAUAUAGGUGACCCCAUUUACGUAUUUUGCCCUCCCCCCAACCCCCCUUCCCCUUUGUAACCAUUACUCUGUUCUCUAUGUGUUUGUUACUGUUUGGUUGGUUUGUUCACUUCCUAUUUAUUUAUUUAUUUAUAUUCUACGUAUGAGUGAAAUCAUAUAGUAUUUGUAUUUCUCCAUCUGACUUAUUUCACUUAGCAUAAUACUCUCAAGGUCUAUCUAUGUUGUUGCAAAAGGCAAGAUUUCUUCUUUUUUAUGGCUAAGUAGUAUUCUACUGUAUACAUAUACCACAUCUUCUUUAUCCAUUCAUCUGCUGAUGGACACUUAGGUUGUUUCCAUAACCUGGCUAUUGUAAAUAAUGCUGUGAUGAACAUAGGGGUGCAUGUAUCUUUUCAAAUUAGUGUUUCUGUGUUCUUUGAAUAAAUACCCAGAAGUGGAAUAGCUGGACCACAUGGUAGCUCUAUUCUUAACUUUUCAAGGAAUCUCCAUACUAUUUUCCACAGUGGCUGCCCUGACUUACAUUCCCACCAACAGUGUAGGAGGGUUCACUUUUCUCCACACCCUCAUCAACAUUUGUUAAUCCUUGUCUUUUUGAUAAUAACCAUUCUAACAGGUGUUAGGUGAUGACUCCUUGUGGUUUUGAUUUGCAUUUCCCUAAUAAUCAAUAAUGUUGAAUAUCUUUCAUGUGCCUGUUGGCCAUCUGUAUGUCUUCUUUGGAAAAACGUCUAUUUAGAUCCUCUGCCCAUCAGGUUGUUUGUUUUUCUGUGGUUGAGUUGUUUGUGUUCUUUAUGUAUUUUGAAUAGUAACCCCUUUUCAUACAUAUGUUUUGCAAAUAUCUUCCCCCACUUGAUAGGUUGUCUUUUCGUUUUGUUGACGGCUUCCUUUGCCAUGCAGAAGUAUUUUUUUAGUUUAUGUAGUCCCAUUUGUUUAUUUCACUUUUGUUUCCCUGGCCUGAGGAGACAUAUCCAGAAAGAUAUUGCUAAGACAAGUGUCUUGAGCAUUGAUAUUGCAUAAACUGAUGUCUGUGUCAAAGGCCAUGCUGCUAUGCUUCUUCUAGAAGUUUUAUGGUUUCAGGUCUUACAUUCAAAUCUUUAAUCCAUUUUGAAUUGAUUUUUGUGUAUGUUGUAAGAGAGUGGUCUGGUUUCAUUCUUUUGCAUGUGGCUGUCUAGUUUUCCCACACUAUUUAUUGAAGAGACUUUCCUUUCUCUAUUGUAUGUUCUUUGCUCCUUUGUCAAAAUUAAUUGUCCAUAUAUGUGUGGGUUUACUUCUGGGCUCUCAGUUCUGUUUCAUUGAUCUGUGUGUCUGUUUUUCUGCCAAUGGCAUGAUAUUUUGAUUACUAUAGCUUUGUAGUUAUAAUUUGAAAUCAGGGAGUGUGAUACCUCCAGCUUGUUCCCCCCGCCUCAGGAUUGCUUUGGCUAUUCAGGGUCUUUUGUGGUUCCAUAUAAAUUUUAGGAUUUUUGUUUUAUUUCUGUGAAAAAAUGUCACUGAGGUUUUGAGAGCAACUGCAUUGAAUCUGUAGAUUGCUUUAGGUAAUAUGGACAUUUUAAUGAUGUUAAUUCUUCCAAUUAAUGAUCACAAAAUAUCUUUCCAUUUCUUUGUGUCUCCUUCAAUUACUUUCAACAAUGUCCUAUAGGUUUCAGCGUACAGGUCUUUCAUCUCCUUGGUUAAACUUGUUCCUAAAUUAAAUAAUUUAAUCUUAUCAAGAGGACUAGAUGGAAAUUUUUGGUCAAAAGGACUGUGUCCUUUAGGAUAAAAAAAUCCACCAAAGAAAAAAGACAUUCACUUAGCAUUUUUGAGAAAUUCAUUUCUUCAUCUUAUUAAAGCAAAUGCAUGUUAAGUUUUUCUACUUGAAAAACAUGGUUUAUACCCAGAGAUUCUAUGAAAAUUGGGUAUUAGAUAGCCUUAUAUUAACAUAUCAACAGCUUAUUAGUCAUUUCUCAGGUGCUUGGUAUCCUUAUUUCUAAUUAGCAUCCUUUUAUAACAUAAUGAUCUUUUAAUAUCUUUGAUAUAAAAAGCUGGUCAGACUUAAAAAAUAACCUUUAUGGUCCAUCACUUUUUUUAUUUAACAUUUUGAUCUCUGAUAUGCACAAAAGACUAUAGUGGACCCUUGAUUAACAUGGGUUUGAACAGCUCAGGUCCACUUAUAUGGUGAUUUUUUCUCAUAAAUAGGUACUACAGGACAACACAACCUGCAGUUAGUUGAAUCCACUGGUGUGGAACCAUGGACAGGAGGGCCAACUGUAAAGAUAUACUCAGAAUAUUUGACUGCGUGGAGGGUAGGCAUCCCUAACCCCUGUGUUGUUCAAGGAUCAACUGUAUUUGUUUUUAAGUCAUUUCAUGGUGAUAAGACUUACUUCACUACUAAACUGUAAAUGAGGGGACCAUUCACAGUGAUUAACAGCAAACCUUCUGCAGCCAGACUCCUUGAGUUCAAAUCCUAGUUUUGCUACUUAAUAGUUGUGUGGCUUUGAUCAAUUACUUAAUCUCUUUAUGCCUCAAUUUUCUCAGCUAUAAAAUGGGGAUAAUAUUGAUAAUAAUUCUUACCUUGUAGUGUUAUAGAAGGAAUUAAAUGUAUUAAUACAGGUCAAACAUUUAGAACAGUGUCUGGAAACUAGUAAGAUCUAAAAAAAAAUCCAAGCUAUUAUGAAUAUGAAUAUUUAUUCUUACAAUAUUUUAUUGCCAAGAUACUGUCUCAGUCAGCUAGGUAAAAAUCCAUCUUAGUCAGUAUCUCUACAUUUCCUGAUAGUUUUGGUGAGCUGUAUCUUGUUUAUACAUGUGAUAAAUGCCCUGUGUGACAUUUCUUUCAGUUCCUGGUCCUUGACAAAACUACAUCUUGUGUAUUCACUGAUUUUUUUUUACAAGGGAAUAUAUAUUGUCAUGGGGUGAAUUCUGUCCUCUUCCAAAGACGCACUGAAGUUCUAACCCCCAGUACCUCAGAAUAUUACCUUGUCUGCAAAUAGGGUCUUUGCAAAUUUAAUCAGGUUAAGAGGAGUUCAUGAGGGUGGGCCCUAAUCCAAUAUGACUGGCGUCCUUAUAAAAAGGGGAAAUUUGGAUACAAACACAUAGAAGGAAGCAGAUGUGAAGAUGGCCAUGUGCCUAGAGUGGCACACCUACAAGCCAAGGAAAGCUAAGGAUUGUUGGAAAACACUACAAGCUAGGAAGAGGCAAGGAAGGAUUUUCUCCUGUCAGAGAGAAUCAAGGUCCUGGGACACCUUGAUUUCAGAUUUUUAGCCUCCAGAAGAGUGAGACAAUAAACUUCUGUUGUUUUCAGCCACCUAGCUUUUGGUACUUUGUUAGAGCAGCCCUAGGAGACAAAUACAGGUAUCAUAUAGAUUUAUCUACUUUCUAACUAGACACUGAGGAGGCUGCAAUUAAUCAUUCCCUCAUUUUUUUCCUUAAGGGUCAUGAAGUAUGGAUUUGAAGAAAUAAAUCCUUAAUUUCUAGGUGUAAAUGAACUAAUGCAAUUAUUUUUGAUCAGUGAGUGGAAAACAAGAUGGCGUACAACUGUCCUGAUUUAUCUUGCUAUAGCUUAUACUUGAGAGACACUAAAAGACAUUAUUGAAGAUUAUAUUAUCGAGAUUUACAUCUUAAGAAAUAACUAAAGACAAGAGACCUGAAUAUGAGGAAUUUCAGAAAACGCCCUCCUAUUAGCCAACUUUGCCUUUACUGAGACUAGUAUUUAUGGAGCACUUCAAGUUCUAAAUGCUUCUUAUAUAAAAAGCCAUGAUGAUGAUUAUCUACACUUUACCGAUGGAGAAAUUGAGGCACAGAAUCUGCCCAAGAAUACUAAAGCUGGGAGCCUCCGUCAUGUCGCUAAACACACUCCAGGCCCAGGAGCUGGAAGUAAGGAAGAGGGUCCUGGGAAAGAUGAAGCAGCUACUUUCCACCACCGAGGACUGGGCAUGGAGCUCACGUGGGCACCUCAGGGAA